ACUGCGGGGUUCGUCUCCUCUGCGGGAAGGACGGACGGGGCAGCGGCUUGCGGGUCCACAUGCUCAGUCGUGUGGCACGAGGGGUAUGCAGGACCAGGAAGUGGGCUCCAGGCUGGCGCCCCGGUGAUGAGAAGACACCAGCUCCCUUCGGGAGGUGCCAGAGAUGCGUUCACCUGCAGUGACGGGUUCACAGCGGGCGUUCCUUAAGCAGCAUCUGUGGUCACACACUGCCAGAGACGCUGUCAGAAACAGAGCAGGGCCCGGUCUGCCCGAAGCUGGGCUCCUGGUCAGGCGGCGAGGCCGCGAAGGAAGCAGCGGUCUGGAUCGCUCAUUUUUCAUCCGUCUGCCUGUGCAGCUCGGCUGAGAACAGUGUACUUCGUUUCAGUUCAGCCAAGAAAGAGACAUCCAAAGAGCUGGAGAUGUGACAUCGGUCAGUGCGUAUACAAAGUGUCGACCUGACCCAGAGGAGGUGGCUGCCCCUGUACUGACCAAGCCACGCUGGCCUUGGAGAGACACAUCACCCUGCUCAGGAGGCCGGAAUCGUGGCUCUUAAUGGUGAUCUGUGGAUAAGGUGAAAGGCUUCCAAGAUGUUUUGGAUAUGGCCACGAGUUCAGAGAUGGAGCCGAUUCAUACAGAAACUCGUGACACACGGGUAGGAAUUAUGUCUUCAAUCAUAUCUUCAGAAGCUGGCCCCGUGAGUGUCAAGCUUUCCGCCCUGCCCGGUGGCUUUCAGGGAGAUGGUCCGGGACAGAUUGUGGACCUGGUAUCCUGAGCGGGCAGUAGCCCUGUGCAGCGAUUUUAAAGACACUCAUGUGUCUAAUGAAAUUCUAGUUUUCUCUGUCCUUUCUUCCAGAAAUUUGAAAUUGAGUAUAGGAGGUUUGAAUUCUAGUCUUUGGGAGAAAAUAAGGUAAAAAGUUCCAUGCAGUUAUAUUGGAAUACUUGAAUGAAAGCCCAUUAGAAAUAUAGUUGCAGAAAAACUGUAAUGGUCACAUGAAGUAAAGUUUUGGGCCAUUUUUUUUUUAAAGUAGAGAAGUGUGAGAUAGACAUGUUGCUUCAGAUUUAGCUGGAAAAUGGAUUAUACUUGUUUUAUCCAAUGUAAACUUUCUCCCCACAUUUCACUGAAGUUAAUGAUUUCAUGGUUUAACCUAUCUAGUGUUUCCCGUAUUUCCAACCAUUCAUCUAUUUCACAAUUUUAGAGAAGGUGUAUAUAUUUUAAGUAGGUGUGUAUGUGUAACAAAUCAGCAUCAAACUCAAAAUUAAAUCAGGAAACGGGGCUAAUGGGUGCCUGAGUGAAAUCAAAAGCACUCUACACUGUUUCCUUUCCAGAAUGUGAUGGGCCGUGAGACCUUUGGCUUAGUACACAAACAGAGGAGAUGGGGAAGAGAAAUGCUGGCAUUUUACACAGUUUAUCUUCCAUUAUUGUAUUUAAUUUUUAAAAGGACAUGGGAACCCUUUGGGAAUUCUAUCGCAGCCUGCAGUUCUGCUACCAAUUCCACAUU